rnacentral:rRNA from 1 species
UCGCCCAUUGCGGCAGCCUACACAUGCAGUCGAGCGGUAACAUGUCUAGCUUGCUAGACGAUGACGAGCGGCGGACGGGUGAGUAAUACUUGGGGAUCUGCCUGAUGGCGGGGGACAACCACUGGAAACGGUGGCUAAUACCGCAUAAUGCCUACGGGCCAAAGUGUGGGACCUUCGGGCCACAUGCCAUCAGAUGAACCCAAGCGAGAUUAGCUUGUUGGUGAGGUAACGGCUCACCAAGGCGACGAUCUCUAGCUGGUCUGAGAGGAUGAUCAGCCACACUGGGACUGAGACACGGCCCAGACUCCUACGGGAGGCAGCAGUGGGGAAUAUUGGACAAUGGGCGCAAGCCUGAUCCAGCCAUGCCGCGUGUGUGAAGAAGGCCUUCGGGUUGUAAAGCACUUUCAGUGGUGAGGAAGGCGUUGUAGUUAAUAGCUGCAACGAUUGACGUUAGCCACAGAAGAAGCACCGGCUAACUCCGUGCCAGCAGCCGCGGUAAUACGGAGGGUGCGAGCGUUAAUCGGAAUUACUGGGCGUAAAGCGCACGUAGGCGGUUUGUUAAGCAAGAUGUGAAAGCCCAGGGCUCAACCUUGGAAUUGCAUUUUGAACUGGCAAGCUAGAGUUUUGAAGAGGGUGGUAGAAUUUCCAGUGUAGCGGUGAAAUGCGUAGAUAUUGGAAGGAAUACCAGUGGCGAAGGCGGCCACCUGGUCAAAAACUGACGCUGAGGAGCGAAAGCGUGGGGAGCAAACAGGAUUAGAUACCCUGGUAGUCCACGCCGUAACGAUGUCAACUAGUUGUUCGUGUCUUAGACGUGAGUAACGCAGCUAACGCACUAAGUUGACCGCCUGGGGAGUACGGCCGCAGGUUUAAAACUCAAAUGAAUUGACGGGGGCCCGCACAAGCGGUGGGAGCAUGUGGUUUAAAUUCGAUGCACGCGAAGAACCUUUACCAUCCCUUGACAUCAGAGAAUUUUCCAAGAUGGAUUAAGUGCCUCGGGAACUCUGAGACAGGUGCUGCAUGGCUUGUCGUCAGCUUCGUGUGUGAGAAUGUGGGUUAAGUCCCGCAACGAGCGCACCCCUUAUCCUAGUGCCAUCACGUUAUGGUGGGAAACUCUAGGAGACUGCCUGGGAUAAACUGGAGGAAUGUGG